rnacentral:lncRNA from 1 species
UUUCAAAUUAUUAAGCAGGCUAUUCAGAAGUACUGAAACAUUCAUUUUUCAUUGCAGAUUGUUGACUAGAAGCCAGAGACAGCUGUCUUCCUGUGAUGCCCCAUGGUGACGCCCACAGGAACUUUCUCCCUUUGGUAUUCAACCCACUAGAAGGUGUGAAAGGAUAUGCAUCAUUUAGAAGCCCUGACAUCUAGGAUUUGACUGAAGAAUUUUAUGCACAGAAACCUAUGGAUUCUGGAAGGUACAAGUCAAGGAGAUAAACCAAACAGAUAUGAGAAAGGAAUUAAAAGUUUUAAAAGGGAAGACAAAAUUACCUACAUUUUCCAUUACUAUAAUUAUAAAACUGGGAAAUCCAAGAGGAUCUAUUGGAAAAACUACCAAAAACUAAGAAGAAAAUUCUAUAAAUAGUAAGUAUAAAAUUCACAUUUAGAAAUGAAUAGAUGUCAUAUAUAUGAAGAUGAUUUGAAUUUUUAAAAAGGCAUAGCAUGUUCUUAAAUAAGACGAUUCAGCAUCAUAAAGAUGUUAAUCCUCCCUAUGUUAAUUUAUAAGUCUGACACUACCAUUAAUAAAAUGCAAGGGAUUUUUUUUAACUGAAUAAGCUGAUUCUAAAUUUCAAUUUAGAAAUGCAAAUAAUCAUUCAGGAAGUUCCACAGAAAUUCUGGAAAAGAAGAGAGUAAGUGAUCAUUUGUUCGAUCAGAUAUUAAACAUUAUAAACCCUCAGUUUUUUAUUUUUUUAAAAGAUUUUAUUUAUUUAUUUGACAGAGAGACACAGAAAGAGGGAACACAAGCAGGGGGACUAGGAAAGAGAAAGCAGGCUUCCUGCCAAGGAGGGAGCCCUAUGGAGGGCUCAAUCCCAGGACAUUGGGAUCGUGACUGAGCCAAAGGCAGACGCUUAACCACUGAGACACCCAGGUGUCCCCGCCUCAGUUUUCUAAAAGUAUAUACUAGCUCCUCCCUCAGACCAGGAUCCCUGAAGGCAGAACUGUGUCUCCUCCCUCAGACUGGGCUUCCCGAAGCAGGGCUGUGUCUCCCUCUCAGACUGGAACUUCCUGAGGGCAGGACCCAUUCAGAAUGGGGCUCCCUGAGGACAGGGCUAUAUUUCCCCUCAGACUGGGGCUGCCUGAGGGUAGAACUGUGUCUCCCCCCUCAGACUGGGGCUCCCUAAGGACAGGAUUAUAAAUCCCCUCAGACUGGAGCCCCCUGAGAAUCAGCUUUUUCCUCAGAUUAGAGAUCUUCUAAGGUAUAGGGCUAUUUCUGUCCCUUGGUCUGGUCUUCCCCAGGGCAGAGGGUGAAGGGCUCCUAUUUCAUGACUCUGUUCCCUUUUCUCUCUUUCUUUCCCACAAUUCCCAGGGUGUAUGGCCCCAGGAGGGCUUUGGCCCAAAUGUACGCCCUCGGGUGAGCUCUGUCCAUUAGCACCACUAAAAGUGCCUUUACCCUACCUUUACUGAGUAAGCUUACUGAGUGGCAGCACUGGCCAGUGGGACCACAUUAUGACUUUUCUGGGCCAUAAACACUUUUGCCUUUGUGGGCCCC